GACGUAGGGUGCAAGCGUUGUCCGGAAUUAUUGGGCGUAAAGAGUUCGUAGGCGGUUUAUCAAGUCUGGUGUUAAAGCCCGAGGCUCAACCUCGGUUCGGCACUGGAUACUAGUAGACUGGAGUACAGUAGAGGCAAGGGGAAUUCCUAGUGUAGCGGUGAAAUGCGUAGAUAUUAGGAGGAACACCAGUGGCGUAAGCGCCUUGCUGGGCUGUUACUGACGCUGAGGAACGAAAGCUAGGGGAGCAAAUGGG
rnacentral:rRNA from 1 species